rnacentral:rRNA from 1 species
UACGUAGGGACCAAGCGUUGUUCGGAUUUACUGGGCGUAAAGGGCGCGUAGGCGGCAAUUCAAGUCAGCUGUGAAAUCUCCGGGCUUAACUCGGAACGGUCAGCUGAUACUGUUUUGCUAGAGUGCAGAAGGGGCAAUCGGAAUUCUCGGUGUAGCGGUGAAAUGCGCAGAUAUCAGGAGGAACACCGGUGGCGAAGGCGGAUCUCUGGGCCUUACCUGACGCUGAGGAGCGAAAGCAUGGGGAGCAAACAGG